rnacentral:rRNA from 1 species
AUUGAACGCUGGCGGUAUGCUUAACACAUGCAAGUCGAACGAUGAGAAAGAGCUUGCUCUUUCGAUUAGUGGCGGACGGGUGCGUAACGCGUAGGAAUCUACCUAUUAGUGGGGGACAACUUAGGGAAACUUAAGCUAAUACCGCAUACGCCCUACGGGGGAAAGAAGGGGAUCGCAAGACCUUUUGCUAAUAGAUGAGCCUGCGUAGGAUUAGCUAGUUGGUGGGGUAAAAGCUCACCAAGGCGACGAUCCUUAACUGGUUUGAGAGAAUGAUCAGUCACACUGGAACUGAGACACGGUCCAGACUCCUACGGGAGGCAGCAGUGGGGAAUAUUGGACAAUGGGCGAAAGCCUGAUCCAGCAAUACCGCGUGUGUGAAGAAGGCCUUAGGGUUGUAAAGCACUUUCAAUUGGGAGGAAAACCUGCCGGUCAAUACCCGGCAGCUUGACAUUACCUUUAGAAGAAGCACCGGCUAACUCCGUGCCAGCAGCCGCCGUAACAC